UGAAUUGAUAGGAACGAUUUCCGAAAGACAUAGGAACGAUUAUUGAAAAGCGUAGGAACGAUUUUUGAAUAGGAACGAUUAUUGAAAGGCGUAGGAACGAUUUUUGAGUACGCGCAUUGUAAAGCCGUAUGGGCUCUUUGAUUUGUUUAUAUUUUUGCGUAACUAAAUUAUAUUUGGUAAUUCAACGUAAUAAUCGAAGAAAAUUCUGACAAGUUUUAAUUUUUAAAGCAUUAAAGCCUUGGUAAAUUAACAUUUAAUAAUGUAUUCAAAUAGAAGAAAUCAUGAAGUCAAUAUAUUAACAGAGGAAUUAAAAUAUUUUCGUGCUUGUAGUCAGGAAAACGAAUUUAAAAAAGUUUUUAUUGAUAAUGUAAUAGGAUAUGGAGUUUUCACUAUACGAGAGUUUAAAGCUGGCGAUCCUUUGUUAGAGUAUAAAGGAAAUCUUAUAACAAGAAAAGAAGCUAAAGAAUUAAGCAAAAGUUAUUCUGCAAAAAAUAAAGGAUGCUUUAUUUUUGAUGUUUACUGGAACAAUAAAAAUAUGAGCAUUGAUGCUACACAAUCAACAUGCAUGGCUAAAUUUAUUAACGACUCUCCAGAUAAAUAUGCCAAUUGUCAACCCAAGACAUGCGUUGUAAAUGGAAUACCCCAUCUUUUGUUAUAUGCAAAAAAGGAUAUUGCUAAAGACUCAGAACUUAGAUAUAACUAUGGGGACAGUUCUAAUCAACAAUGGAGAAAAUUGGCAAAGUAUCAGGAACCAUUUACUAUGAGUGAAGUUAAUGCAUAUCUACGAGGACAGCCUUUGCAGAAAAAUCGAAUUCUAACAGCAUCAAUGUUGUUUUCAUCAUUUAAUAAUAAAAAGUCUGAGUUGAAAAAGGAUUUAAAUAGUUGCAUUUUGUCAUCUAAUCAAAUGAAAAUCAAUAAUUUCAAAAAAUGUAAGGAAGAUUUACCUGAAAAAAGUAAUAAAGAUACAAUUUCAGGAGGCUUAUCACAAGCAUUUGGUUUUGAGAAGUGUACUGAGUUAGAAGAACAAUAUAAUCAAGCAUUAAAUAAGUCCUAUUUAAGUUUCAGCAAUGAAGAUAUUUUAUUACCAGAUGAAACAUUUUUAAAAAACUCAUCUCAGAUAUAUAGUUUAGAAGAAAGUGCUUGUGAAGAUAACUCUGAAAAUUUGUAUUCAAAUUCAGUUAACAGUAAAAAAGUUUCACCUCGAAUGAUAGUUGCUGCCAGAUGCUUGACAGAUAUAUCAAAAAGAAAUGAUUCUGAAACCAAUAUCUCUAUGUUCACUAGUGAAACUUCACUCACAAGCAAUGAAGACUUACCUGGAAGAAGUAAUAAAGAUGCAGUUUCAGGAAGCUUAUCACAAGUAUUUGGUUUUGAGAAGUGUACUGAGUUAGAAGAACAAUAUAAUCAAGCAUUAAAUAAGUCCUAUUUAAGUUUCAGCAAUGAAGAUAUUUUAUUACCAGAUGAAACAUUUUUAAAAAACUCAUCUCAGAUAUAUAGUUUAGAAGAAAGUGCUUGUGAAGAUAACUCUGAAAAUUUGUAUUCAAAUUCAGUUAACAGUAAAAAAGUUUCACCUCGAAUGAUAGUUGCUGCCAGAUGCUUGACAGAUAUAUCAAAAAGAAACGAUUCUGAAAGCAAUAAUUUGAUAAAUGCUAAUGAAACUCCACUUAUAACAAGUUUAUACCUGAUUGAUUGUGGUUUAUCGUUUUUUCGUAUUUUGUUUAUAGUGGGUUAGAAGAGAGCACUGUGAUUGAUUGGGGAUGUAGCCAACAUUUAAUGUAAGAAUGCUGCUUUUCUCUUUCAAAUAACAUAAUAAUUAAAAAGUUUGUUUUCUUUAUUAAAUUUUAAUUAUUAAUAUGAGAUAUGCACUAAUUCCUGUAAGAUAUUUAGCUUUGAAGACUCAACAAAAAUGAUUAAUGAAGAUACAAUAUUAGCAGAUAUAUUUCAUAUAGACAACCAAAACAAUAAAAUACAAUGUAAUAGAGAAACACUUACCGAAAAUUCAUCACAAAUAUAUUGAAACCAAUGAAAGUUUCUUUCAGAAAUUAAUGGCAGUGAAGUGGUACCUACAGUUGCAGCUCAAAAUAAGUAGGUUUGAAACUGUCUUUGUGUUGAUUGUGUUCUUUCUUUUAAUAUUUUCUUUACUUGAUAAAAUUAGUAAACUUUGGCCAAAUUUAAUUAGUAAUUUAGUAAUUUGCCUUUCAUUUUUGUUUUUCAGUUCUACUUAUAGAGCAAUACGUGGUAUAGAUACAAAGACGUGGUAUUAAAAAAUGCUACAGUUAAAAAAAAUCGUUUUACGAUUUUUUUGAGGUAAUUGUGAGCCUAAGGCUGAUGAUAAAUAGUACAUCUGGCUCCGUAUAUAUGUAUACACACAAACACACACAAGCUAUUUACAAAUCGAUAUUUCUAUAUUUAGGGUAAACUUUAGGCAAAGAAUGCGAGGAACUGUUAAACUGUUAUGAACAUAUUAUGCACUAUACCAUAUCAUGCACUACACGUGGCGCUCAGUUUACUCGACGAUCCAACUUAACAGGAUAUUAUCCAUUUUUCUAAUAUAUAUACAUAGAUGCAAAGUAUUCAAAAUGAUUAUAUUGUUAUUUAUAUAUUUAGGAUACAUUUAAACUAAAGACUAUGAAGAGCUGUAAAACUGCUAUUGGCAACAGUUGAUAAUACUAGACGCAUGUGUUAGUAAGUAAUUUGAAUCUCUGGUUGGAAUUCUUUUAAAUGCUUUUAUGCUUUUUACCCAUUGUUGCUGUGGAAAAGCUCAAUACCAAAGAUUUAAUAAAGGCAGAGUUAGGCAGGGUCGAAGGAUAUUUUUCGAACUAAUAAUCCAUUGUAGUGAAAAACGAACUAGUUCAAUCUUUUAAAAAAAAAAAGUUUUUUAGAUCAUAAUCGUCUUUGAAGUAAAAAAGUAAACAUGCCCAGUGGGCACAAGAAGCGUUUUAAACGUCUAAAUCACGUAUUAAAACGUUUUAAUACAUAUUCUAGACGUUUAAAACACGUCUCGUGCCCAUUGGGUGAUUUGAAGUAAAUUUCCAUUUGUUUUAUUUUUUUCAAGAAAAAAAAUUUGAAACUAAA